rnacentral:rRNA from 1 species
GGUGCAUGGUUGUCGUCAGCUCGUGUCGUGAGAUGUUGGGUUAAGUCCCGCAACGAGCGCAACCCUUAUUCUUAGUUGCCAGCACUAACGGUGGGCACUCUAAGGAGACUGCCGGUGACAAACCGGAGGAAGGUGGGGAUGACGUCAAAUCAUCAUGCCCUUUAUGACCUGGGCUACACACGUGCUACAAUGGCCUAUACAAAGGGUAGCGAAGCUGUGAGGUGGAGCCAAUCCCAAAAAGUAGGUCUCAGUUCGGAUUGUAGGCUGCAACUCGCCUACAUGAAGUCGGAAUCGCUAGUAAUCGCGGAUCAGCAUGCCGCGGUGAAUACGUUCCCAGGCCUU